UACCUUUUAAGAAGAUUGGAGAUCCUACUAUGUGUACGAGGUGGAGGAGGAAUAUACGUCUACUAGCUCCUGAUUAAUAUGUUCUUAAAGUCCCAAGGCUCUUUGCUCUUCAGAGACUCUCUUAGAGCGUAACUUUCUUCCUACUGCUUCAUCUUGGUUAAAUAAUUUUUCAAGAAGAUAGCAUUGAGUCACAAUCACAUUAUAAUCUCAUCGAAAAGUAGUAUCCCAAACUCUUUUAGGAAGAGCUUUAUAGACCUAUCCUCCAACAUAUCUACCCG
rnacentral:lncRNA from 1 species